rnacentral:rRNA from 1 species
GACGAACGCUGGCGGCGUGCUUAACACAUGCAAGUCGAGCGGUAAGGCCCUUUCGGGGGUACGACGAGCGGCGAACGGGUGGAGUAACACGUGGGUGACCUGCCCUCCAGCUCUGGGAGUAAGCCUGGGAAACCGGGGUCUAAUACUGGAUAUGACUCCAUGACGCAUGUUGUGGGGCGGAAAGACCUUGUGCGGCUGAGGAUGGGCCCGCGGCCUAUCAGCUUGUUGGUGGGGUGAUGGCCUACCAAGGCGACGACGGGUAGCCGGCCUGAGAGGGCGACCGGCCACACUGGGACUGAGACACGGCCCAGACUCCUACGGGAGGGCAGCAGUGGGGAAUCUUGCGCAAUGGGCGAAAGCCUGACGCAGCGACGCCG